CGUAACAAGGUCUCCGUUGGUGAACCAGCGGAGGGAUCAUUACCGAGUUUACAACUCCCAAACCCCUGUGAACAUACCACUUGUUGCCUCGGCGGAUCAGCCCGCUCCCGGUAAAACGGGACGGCCCGCCAGAGGACCCCUAAACUCUGUUUCUAUAUGUAACUUCUGAGUAAAACCAUAAAUAAAUCAAAACUUUCAACAACGGAUCUCUUGGUUCUGGCAUCGAUGAAGAACGCAGCAAAAUGCGAUAAGUAAUGUGAAUUGCAGAAUUCAGUGAAUCAUCGAAUCUUUGAACGCACAUUGCGCCCGCCAGUAUUCUGGCGGGCAUGCCUGUUCGAGCGUCAUUUCAACCCUCAAGCACAGCUUGGUGUUGGGACUCGCGUUAAUUCGCGUUCCUCAAAUUGAUUGGCGGUCACGUCGAGCUUCCAUAGCGUAGUAGUAAAACCCUCGUUACUGGUAAUCGUCGCGGCCACGCCGUUAAACCCCAACUUCUGAAUGUUGACCUCGGAUCAGGUAGGAAUACCCGCUGAACUUAAGCAUAUCA
rnacentral:rRNA from 1 species